rnacentral:misc_RNA from 1 species
CUUGUUUUGCUCUAUGCCCAUGCUCCUUUGGGGGCGGUCAUGAAUGCAGAGAUUGGCCCUCCGUGCCUUGUGUGCGGCGGGCUUAAGCGCGGGCUGUCGGCGUCGGGAUGGACACGAUGAGUGGUGGACGGAGCACCAAUAGGAUGUCAUGGUCCCCUGUCGCCUAAGGGGGUCAAAGAUCCGGACUAGGCGAGCCGUGCUCCGUACGAGGAGGGCGAGCUGUCUCGCAAU